rnacentral:rRNA from 1 species
AACGCGUAGGAAUCUACCCAGUAGCGGGGGAUAAGCCAGAGAAAUUUGGUCUAAUACCGCAUACGCCCUUCGGGGGAAAGCAGGGGAUCUUCGGACCUUGCACUAUUGGAUGAGCCUGCGUGAGAUUAGCUAGUUGGUGAGGUAAUGGCUCACCAAGGCGACGAUCUCUAGCUGGUCUGAGAGGAUGAUCAGCCACACUGGAAUUGAGACACGGUCCAG